rnacentral:rRNA from 1 species
CGGGACGGGUGAGUAAUGUCUGGGAAACUGCCUGAUGGAGGGGGGUAACUACUGGAAACGGUAGCUAAUACCGCAUAACGUCGCAAGGCCAAAGAGGGGGACCUUCGGGCCUCUUGCCAUCGGAUGUGCCCAGAUGGGAUUAGCUAGUAGGUGGGGUAACGGCUCACCUAGGCGACGAUCCCUAGCUGGUCUGAGAGGAUGACCAGCCACACUGGAACUGAGACACGGUCCAG